CGGUCGCAGCGGCCGCGCUCUCGGCGCGAGGGCAAGAUGGUGGCCGUCACCAGGGACAGUAGAGAGGCGGGGUAGGAAACCUGACCUGUGAAGAGCCACGGCCGUAGAGAACGAAGAUAGAGGGUCCCUGCAGCCGGAAAGUCAUUAAGCUGCUGAUUGCGGAGAUUGUCCCAGGCCGAGAUUGGCGAGGCGCAGAAAAUUGGAGCGGGAAGGGACCGAUGAGAAAACAGAGGCCCGGCCGAAUUUCCUUCUUAAUUGCUUCGCGGAUUUUUUGGGGAUACGGAGGGGUCGUUGAUUGGGUUAGUGAAGGGGUUUUAGAUUCCCAGAGAAUAGUUCCCCACCCCCGUCAGCUACUUUUAAAAUCCGAGCAAAGAUAAGUGAGGCCCAGCCCCGGGCGGCAGAGGGCGCGCGAGAACGGCGUGGGCCCCGGCCGGGACCUCCCGGCGCCUUUGCCCCAGGGCGGGUCUAGACGAACCCUGAUCAAUUUAAAUCAGGAAGAAAAAAGAAAGUAAUAGCAAAGUUAAUUAUGAAAAGAACAAAGUAUAAGGUGACACCCACUGCCAUUUUUGUAUGUCAUUUUUCAGACAAAUUAAAGUCAGGGCCAGAAUUCAGACAUAUUUGGAAAUCGGUAUAAAUUCGCUACCUGCCAAGCCUUUUCUGCAUUACUGUCUCACCAUUCUCAUCACCUCUUUAGCAGUGAUCUCUGUGGCGUUUAGUCUGGAUUAUAUUCUUCUGUAUAUAGUAGUAUGUUGCAAGUACUUAUUUUCAAGUUGCCACAUUUUGUUUAUGUUUCCCUUGAUUUGAUUGUAAACUCUAUGGGCAGAAGAAGUAUCUUUUUUUUUUUCCCCCUUCUGAAUUUCCUCACAGUGGCCAGUUGGGUGUUGUGCAGCCUCUGCUCACAGCGAGGAGGAGGAUGGUCAUCUGAACCUCACAGGCCAUUUUGAGACGAUGCCUGCAAAGCACUCAGCACACUGCCUGCCGGAAGAAACUCAGAGGGAAGGAGUCCGUCCUCGUGAAAUGAGCAUCUCUCUCUCGCCAGCCCCAGGCAGGCUUUGCCUCAGAAGCUCUCCAGCCAGGGCCUCGGAGACGUGAAGACGGGCAGGUCCUUGGGGGUGUCAGAGAGGCAACUACCUUCUUGAUGGUUUCUUUUCCCCAUUCUGCCUCUUGCUGCUGCUUCUGCCACCAGAGCAUCCUCCCGGGAUAGGGGGCGAAUGAGGACUUGAGCUGAAACAAAACCAAACAAGAUCGGCACUUGCUCCCAGGCCAAAGGACCGGAAGCUUGUAUUUCACAGCGGCCAGCCCCAAGCACCACUACUUUGUUCUCAGAAGCCCCCCAGCCCUGCCUUCAGCCCCCCAGCAUGGCCACUGCCUCAUCCUCAAGCCCAGAACGUGUUCAAAGCCACACCUGAUUCAGCAGGACAGCCGUGCCCUGUGGCCUGGAACACUGCAGAGCCAAGUGUGUGCUGACGAAAGGAGCUCACCCGGCACUCUUGCCCUCCAUCCUGCUCCCUCCCAGCUGGCCAGCGCUUCCUCGUUUCUUCUUUCCCACCUCAGCCCGAUCACUGCCUUCCAGGCUCCUGGGCCUGCCUACCUGCUUCUGUCGCAGGGGCUGAGCUCCACCUGAACAGGUGAAGGCUUACUUCAGAGGCUCCUUCUCCCUAAACAGAGAAAAGCACCAAGUCGGGGGAGUGACGGGCACACCCCUCCGAGGUUCCCAGCUCUCCUCUUCCUCCAUGCCUAGCGAUUCAUCCCAGUACUGGGGGAUAGGAGCCCCCACAGCACCAUUGGAAUUUGUGACAGAAUUGGAGAGCAGAAUUUUCACUUCCAGUCCCCACCCCCAGCUGAUCCUCUGUGACAACCGCCAUCGGCAAGAGGCCCCUUGAUCUCAGGCCAGUUGUGCCAGUUAUGGGCAACCUGCGUCUUUCUGGUCAGACCACACCAGGCCAGCUGGCCCCCAGAUUUGGCUUUUCCAGCAAAAGGCUCACUGGUUUCCAUACAUCUAAGGGACACGUCCCCCACCCAGAAAGAGAUCUGGGUGUUUGCAGGCUGUGCCAACUGAACCAGCCGCCUGAACUCCUGUGGGGAGAUGCCUUCCUUCCAGUAGGCUGCGGAGCCCAAGGUGUCUUAGGAUCAUUUUUGCUUUUUGUUUCAUUAGGAGACAAGCAGAGCCAGGGGUCUAGCAGACACUUCCCCAUGAGACGUUGCCACACCAGUGGGUCUCCCACACCAGCUUGAUCCCCAGGCAGCUAAAGCACAGUGGGGACUUCAUGACUAUUUGUUGAUUUUCGGUGUUUAAUUGGGCAUUGGAGCCCCUCUCAUCAAAGGACACUGGUCACCCAGGGAAGGAAUAGCCCGGGCGAUCCCUGACAUCUACCCCUAAAGGCCACACGGCCUCAGCCUAUGGAAGAGUUAACUUUUCGGCCUCGGGAGACAGGGUCCUGCCCGCAGGGGCUGCCCAGCCAAUGGCAGACGGUGCUGAUGAUGUCAUGCUCCUCCAGCGCCUUCUAUUGGGGCCUGGACGGCGAAUCCUGCCGAGGUUCAGGCAGAGGAGCUGCCAGGCUGGGCGGGGGCAGGGGGAGGAAGGGAGGGCAGGGGAAGGAAAGGAGAGCAGAGCCACACAGAGCUGCUUCUGCUCAUCCUCUCCCUGCUCCCCCUGCGCCUUCCAGCAGAAGGUACCCCUGGGGACCGCCCCAUGCUCAGACAAGCCGGGCAGAGACGCUUUGGUCCGGUGUUGGGGGCUGGGAGCUCCCAGCUCCCAAUCUGAGAAAACUGACAUCAAGCAGGCAUACAGAGUACAGGGUGACUGGGGCGGGGGGACAUGUGCCCACUAGCCAACAUGUAGUGCGGGCACAUGCACACGCAUGCACACCCAUUGCACCCCCAGACAGCGACAGCUUCCUGGGCAGAACCUCCCUCCCCACCCCUCUCCCCUCAGCCUCACCUGCCUGAGGACUGCAUGUCUGUUUCCAAGCCGCUGUCCCCAGCUUCCCCAUCCACUCCGCUGGGCUCCCUGUGGGAGGGGAGAACAGGCAGGAAGAGCUGUGGGCCGCGCCAGGAGCCUCUUACUGCUCCUUGGGCCCUGACCACAUGGGGGCAGUGGGACUGGAGGCCACAGCCCCGUGCCCUGGAAGAGCCCCAGAUUCCCCUGCUCCGCGCUCUUGGGGACUCAUGCGGGGACUCAUGCACGUGCCCCACCGACCUCCCUGGAGGGCCAGUAGCUCCUCCCCCAGCCCCAGCCCAGGGCCCGCCAGGCUCUCACGGGUGGACCCGGUUGGCGGACCAGCGACGCCAGAGCAUGGCCAAGGUGCUGAGCAGAAAGAGCGUGGUGCACAUGGCCCUUGGCCCCACCCUCACCCAGGGCCCGGGCUGGAGAAGAAGGCGGGCGAGGGGCCCAAACGGCCCCCACCGACUCUCACCAGCCCUCUGUCCUGAGGCUCCUGCUGGGGACAGAUUAGGAGGCUCAAGCUGAUUAGUGGGGUUAGCAGAGCUGACCUUGGGAAGACUAACCUCACCGGGGCCCAGGCUGUCCCAUCCAUGGCACGGUUUAUCAUCAUCAGCACUGAGCACCGAUUCAGAAUGUAAAUGUGAAUAAGACCUGGGCCUGCCCUCCAGGGGUUUAAAGUCUAGACCAGUUAAAUGAAUGACUGCAAUAGAGUGACUUGGGUGCUAGUAAAAGUACCUGCAGAGCAUGUUGGGAUUUGCAGGCGUCAGGGAAAGCUUUGAAGAGCUAGAGGUGCCUGAAUUUGCAUGUGACAAAGAAGGAUGGCCCCGAGACCCAGAUUGAAGAAUCUGCCAGCUUGGAGCUGUGCAAGAGCUCACUGUGUUCUGCCACUGGAUGGGUGGCGGGGGGAGCAGUGAUGUCACAGUGAGGGCACCAGGAGGGUAAGAGGAAUGGGGAAGACUGAGCAGCUAAGGUCAACAGGCAGGAGAAGCAGAGAGUGAAGGGCCCCAGAUGUCUGCCUGGGGGAAUCCAUUUUAACCUCUGGUCAGCCCUUUUCCAAACUUUUUUGAUCAUGCACUUUUCAUUCAAAGGCAGAAUGUAAGUGUGCACACAUAACGUGGCACUUUAUACUGUGAUGGCGUUCUGAUCCUCACCACAACAUGGAUGAUGAAUCUUAAAAAUGUCAUCUUGAGUGAGAUAAGCCACACACACACAAGAGGACAAAUACCAUCAUGAUUUCAUUUAUAUGGAAUAUCUAGAAUAAGCGAAUUCAUAGUGACAGAAAGUAGAUUCAUGGUUGCCAGGGGGAGGGAGCAGGGGAAGUGAUUGCCUAAUGGGUGUUUGGGAUGAGGGAAAAGUUUGGGUAACAGAUGGUGAUGAUGGUAGCACAACAUUGUGAAUGUAAUUAACACAACUGAAUUGUAUCCUUGAAAGUGGUUAUUGUAUGGAAAUAAUCAGGAAUGUUGUUAUAUAUGUUACCACAAGAAAAAAAUUUUUUAAACUGUACUACUCUGCAAAUACAUCAUUACAUCAUAAAACAUAUAUAAAAUUUGUAAAGGAUGAGAUAAAAAUAAACAGAAGAUUUCUCCCACUUUCUUUCCACAUCCCAGUGGAACCUCCUGGGUGACCAGUUUGGAGACCAGUGCACCCAGUUUGGGAAACCCUCAGAGGAGCUUAGCUGGAGCCGAGGUCCGGGCAGCACGUGGCA